rnacentral:rRNA from 1 species
AUUGAACGCUGGCGGCAUGCUUUACACAUGCAAGUCGAACGGCCGCGCGGGCUUCUGCCUGGCGGCGUGUGGCGAACGGGUGAGUAAUUCAUCGGAACGUGCCCAGUAGUUGGGGAUAGCCCGGCGAAAGCCGGAUUUAUCCCGCAUACGACCUGAGUGUGAAACCGGGGGACCGAAAGGCCUCGCGCUAUUGGCGCUGCCGAUGUCGGAUUAGCUAGUUGGUUGGGUAAAGGCUUACCAAGGCGACGAUCCGUAGCUGGUCUGAGAGGACGACCAGCCACACUGGGACUGAGACACGGCCCAGACUCCUACGGGAGGCAGCAGUGGGGAAUUUUGGACAAUGGGGGCAAGCCUGAUGCAGCAAUGCCGCGUGCGGGAAGAAGGCCUUCGGGUUGUAAACCGCUGUUGUUAGGGAAGAAAACAUCUGGGCUAAUAAGUCGGGGGGAUGACGGUACCGGAAGAAUAAGCAACGGCUAACUACGUG